rnacentral:rRNA from 1 species
AUGAACCAAUCCAUCCCUUUUUCCCGUGCAUAUGCAUCGGACUCGGAUGACGAUGGUCCCGAUGAAGAGGUUGAUGAGGAGGGGUUCACACCGAAGGAGGCCCAAGCAUUCAAGAAGGUAUUCGGGCGGGAUCACAAGACACCAUUGUUCAAGGAUCUUAGUCUCGCGGAUGAAGCCGUUGUGGAUGGUGGCAAAUGCAUAUCUCUUGGAGCUAGGCCAAGUUCUCACCAUGAUUUGGAAGACGGCAAGAACGAGAUAUAUCCCGGUUGUGAGUUUCAAUCCUUCUUGGAAUUGAAGAUGUGGCUCGACAACUACUCGGUUAUGCAUUAUCGUCCACAUAAAUUGGCCAACUCGAAUGUCAAUGUGCGUUACACGGUCAAAUGUGAAGUGCCAAGUUGUCCAUGGAUUGUGCGUGCAAGGCCAUGGAAAGGAGGUCCCACUUGGAGCAUAGUGAGUUGUCUACCAAAUCACAUGUGCCGGCACAAGAAUGCGGAUGGCAAGCUUGUGUACCAACAACACGGACAACUCACGUCCGAGUUCAUCGCUUAUAGGCUUUCCAACCAAAUAUCCACACUUCCAGCAAUGAGCAUCAAGAGUGUCAUUGACCUUGUGAAAGCCAUCUUUCAUUACAAGGUGAAGUACAGCAAGGCAUGGAAGGCAAAGCAAGCCGCAUUCAAGAUGUUGUAUGGAAAUUGGGAGGAAGCAUACAACUGA